rnacentral:misc_RNA from 1 species
AAGUCGUAACAAGGUUUCCGUAGGUGAACCUGCGGAAGGAUCAUUAACACUUUAACAAUCCAAAACCUUUGGAUCAACCCAACCUUUAGCGAACCGUUCGUUUUUUUCCCUUUGCCCCAUUUAACCAUAUAAACCCAACGAAAAUUCUGAUGUAAAGUGUCUGAUUCCAUAUUCUGGUGAUCGGCUCGAAAGGGCUUUAUCGGAAUCAAAAUCUAACGCAAUACAACUCUUAACAACGGAUAUCUUGGCUCUC